rnacentral:lncRNA from 1 species
CAUUUUCUUAGGUUUUGUGGAAAUUUGUGGGGAUUUUGUGGGAUGUGACUGGAAUUUGUUGGGGUUUUGAGAAGAUUUCUGCCAUUUGUCGGGAUUUUUCUUGAAUUUUGUGGAGACUUGAAGAAUUAUGAGGAAUUUCCCUUAGCUUCAUUGGAAUUUUGUGGAGAUUUAGUGGGAUGUUACUGGAAUUUAGUGGCGUUUUGAGAACAUUUAAUGAACUGUGUACGAUUUUUCUUGAAUUUGGUGGGAUAUUGACUAGAUUUUGUGGAAUUUUGUGGAGAUUUGGUGGAAUGUUUCUGGAAUUUGCUGGGGUUUUCAGAACAUUUAAUGAAUUGUGUGGGAUUU